rnacentral:rRNA from 1 species
GAACGCUGGCGGCGUCCUUAACACAUGCAAGUCGAGCGGUAAGGCCCUUCGGGGUACACGAGCGGCGAACGGGUGAGUAACACGUGGGUGACCUGCCCUCCACUCUGGGAUAAGCCUGGGAAACUGGGUCUAAUACCGGAUAUGACCACAUGUCGCAUGGUGUGUGGUGGAAAGCUUUAUGUGGUGGGGGAUGGACCCGCGGCCUAUCAGCUUGUUGGUGGGGUAAUGGCCUACCAAGGCGACGACGGGUAGCCGGCCUGAGAGGGCGACCGGCCACACUGGGACUGAGACACGGCCCAGACUCCUACGGGAGGCAGCAGUGGGGAAUAUUGCACAAUGGGCGAAAGCCUGAUGCAGCGACGCCGCGUGAGGGAUGACGGCCUUCGGGUUGUAAACCUCUUUCAGCAGGGACGAAGCGGGAGUGACGGUACCUGCAGAAGAAGCACCGGCCAACUACGUGCCAGCAGCCGCGGUAAUACGUAGGGUGCGAGCGUUGUCCGGAGUUACUGGGCGUAAAGAGCUCGUAGGCGGUUUGUCACGUCGGCUGUGAAAACCCAUCGCUCAACGGUGGGCUUGCAGUCGAUACGGGCUGACUUGAGUACUGCAGGGGAGACUGGAAUUCCUGGUGUAGCGGUGAAAUGCGCAGAUAUCAGGAGGAACACCGGUGGCGAAGGCGGGUCUCUGGGCAG